AUUGAACGCUGGCGGCAGGCUUAACACAUGCAAGUCGAGCGGAGAUGAGGUGCUUGCACCUUAUCUUAGCGGCGGACGGGUGAGUAAUGCUUAGGAAUCUGCCUAUUAGUGGGGGACAACAUUCCGAAAGGAAUGCUAAUACCGCAUACGUCCUACGGGAGAAAGCGGGGGCUCUUCGGACCUCGCGCUAACAGAUGAGCCUAGGUCGGAUUAGCUAGUUGGUGGGGUAAUGGCUCACCAAGGCGACGAUCCGUAACUGGUCUGAGAGGAUGAUCAGUCACACUGGAACUGAGACACGGUCCAGACUCCUACGGGAGGCAGCAGUGGGGAAUAUUGGACAAUGGGCGAAAGCCUGAUCCAGCCAUGCCGCGUGUGUGAAGAAGGUCUUCGGAUUGUAAAGCACUUUAAGUCGGGAGGAAGGGUUGUAGGUUAAUACCUUGCAGCCUUGACGUUACCGACAGAAUAAGCACCGGCUAACUUCGUGCCAGCCGCCGCAGUAAUAC
rnacentral:rRNA from 1 species